GAUGAACGCUGGCGGCGUGCCUAAUACAUGCAAGUCGAGCGAACAGACGAGGAGCUUGCUCCUCUGACGUUAGCGGCGGACGGGUGAGUAACACGUGGAUAACCUACCUAUAAGACUGGGAUAACUUCGGGAAACCGGAGCUAAUACCGGAUAAUAUAUUGAACCGCAUGGUUCAAUAGUGAAAGACGGUUUUGCUGUCACUUAUAGAUGGAUCCGCGCCGCAUUAGCUAGUUGGUAAGGUAACGGCUUACCAAGGCAACGAUGCGUAGCCGACCUGAGAGGGUGAUCGGCCACACUGGAACUGAGACACGGUCCAGACUCCUACGGGAGGCAGCAGUAGGGAAUCUUCCGCAAUGGGCGAAAGCCUGACGGAGCAACGCCGCGUGAGUGAUGAAGGUCUUCGGAUCGUAAAACGCUGUUAUGAGGGAAGAACAAAUGUGUAAGUAACUAUGCACGUCUUGACGGUACCUAAUCAGAAAGCCACGGCUAACUACGUG
rnacentral:rRNA from 1 species